UACGGGGGGAGCAAGCGUUGUUCGGAUUUACUGGGCGUAAAGGGCGCGUAGGCGGCCACCGCAAGUCGACUGUGAAAUCUCCGGGCUUAACCCGGAAAGGUCAGCCGAUACUGCGGGGCUAGAGUGCAGAAGGGGCAACUGGAAUUCUCGGUGUAGCGGUGAAAUGCGUAGAUAUCUGGAGGAACACCGGUGGCGAAGGCGGCAUCCUGGACCAAUACUGACGCUGAGGAGCGAAAGCCAGGGGAGCAAACGGG
rnacentral:rRNA from 1 species